CAGUCGCCACGGGAAUACAGAGGAUGCAAGCGUUAUCCGGAAUGAUUGGGCGUAAAGCGUCUGUAGGUGGCUUUUCAAGUCCGCCGUCAAAUCCCAGGGCUCAACCCUGGACAGGCGGUGGAAACUACCAAGCUGGAGUACGGUAGGGGCAGAGGGGGGUAGAAUUCCACGUGUAGCAGUGAAAUGCGUAGAGAUGUGGAGGAAUACCGAUGGCGAAGGCAGCCCCCUGGGCCAAUACUGACGCUCAUGCACGAAAGCGUGGGGAGCAAACAGGAUUAGAUACCCCAGUAGUCCCUGUCUC
rnacentral:rRNA from 1 species